UGGAUGGAUGAUGGAUGGAUGGAAUGAACUACCCUGUCAACAAGAAUAAGCCCUCCAGAACAUGGCGACAUUUGACAAUACAGUCACGUCUCAUCCUAAUUAUCAGUAGCAGGGUGAGUCUGCAUUCUUCUCGCUAAUCCAAAGGCAGAGCACAGGCAGAAAGCUGUCUUUCUAAAAUCAGUAGUCUCUGAUUUUACACCAUUUUACAUUAUGGAUUUGAUCAAAUGCUACAUUUUUAAAUUAACAUCUUUCUUUUUUUAAGUCAUAAAACAGAAAUUUUCCCAUAACAAAAGAUCUAUUGAAACCUCCUGUCAAUCUGCAUUUAUAACCCACAAUGCCUGUGGAUGGGGCUUCUCGGGACAUUUUUAAAAUAUCACCCAUACCGCAAAUAUUCAUUUGAAACUCUGUGUCUUGAAACAGAAAGGGCACUGUCUGAAAGCACUUUGAUCAAACAAAUGUAAAAAUAAAUAUUGAGACUCUUUGUGUGUGUAUGGCCUAAUAUUUUUCUCUCACAAGCCUUGAGAAAAUAAAUCAUUGCAGCUCACAAGUUUCUUAAAUCUGACAUUCUUACAGUGUUCAAACACAGCGCUGAUAAUCAGCCGCUAACAAGAGUGGGCUUACUUGAUUUACCCACGUUAUACAUCUGGUAAGGACAAAGCAAACACCAGCUAUUUUUUUUUUCGCCUAGUACUGUUACUGUUAACAUUUGUAGGCAGGGUAGGAUCAGCCCUCGUAAUUCUUUUAUCAUUAAGUCUGUUUAUUUUCUGAAUAUUCACAGUAGUUCUUGAAGUAAAUCUCAAGUCUAUGUUCCUGGAAGGAAGAGUGGCUGAUGCAAACUUCCUGUUUUGUAAACACUAGUUUGUUUUAUUACCUGAGACCCUCAUGCCACAAAGAGAAGGAUCUCUUGGCUUUUACCUUCUCUUUGUCAUUCCACUUAGCUUACAUUACAAUGACAGCUGUGGAAAAUGUUUAGAUUAUCAUCCCUCUGGUUAUUAUUCUCCUAUAAAGAGAUUUCCUUUGGUUACAGGUCAAAGGCUGGAGGAUUUUCUUUUGGUUAAUACUUUACAUUGCACAAAACAGUUCAUGCUCGGUGAAGUAAAUUGUCUGAAAUAGAAAAGUGCUCUGACAUCCUGGAAACCCUGUUCAACACGCUGAUUUUUAUUUCCUCUCCUGUUACAAAUAUAUUUUUUAAAAAUUGGAGCAUCACUGAAGAGACUUAAAUUCAGAUCAAAUGAAGCAAAAACGGAAAAGGUCUACAAAAUAUUUCUCUGUAUUGUUUUCAGUGUUUUACAUGUUUUAAUUUAUUUUAACUGUCCCAGAGUGUAACUUUCCCAACGAUGAAGUGUUUGGUGGUUAAUAUUCAAAGUGUAAUCUCGAGUGAUUUUAUGCCCUUUGAACAUUCUGUUAUUCAUUUAUACAGAGUAUUUAUAGACAGCAUUCUUAUACUUAUUAAUACUGUUAAUACCGAUAAAAGUCUCUAUAGACCACAUUAACAACCCACCAGUUCAGAAGCUCCCCUGUGACAACGGCGGCUCCACUGCUAUUUCAGCAGGUCCCUGCUCUGCAGGACAGAAUUCAUGUCUGCCACUGUACAUCAGUGAAAAUAAAAUAUCCAUGGCUGUGUGUGACACAGGAAACGUAACAUUGUAGUCCAAGUAAAUUAAACAUAUUGCCAAACUGCUUUCUAGAUAUUUACGUGAACACUCACAGAGAAGUGCUAUUCUCAGCAUUAAUCAGAGAAGCUUCCCUUUCAGUGAAAGGGUAGUGAAUGCAGAUGCCCGUGGCUGCUCUAGGUGCUAAAAAUAAGUGACAGUUGAGUGUUCGGCCAUAAAUAGAACAUUUAUGUGAUUCCAAACCCCUAAGGCUCAGAUAACAUCACUAAAGAGAAGACUUAGAGAAUGCAAGAGCCGGAAUAUAAGGAGAAGGACUGCAAAUAAAUUCUUAUGGGCACCAACCUGCCAUUGUGAUCAUGUUCUUACAGCAGGCCUAGUGGCUCGCUUGUACUUGGCCCGCAAAGGACAUGGCCUGUCAACAUCCAAUCUCAGAAGGGGGUGAAGAUCAAGAGGUCCUGCCCAUUUUGCUGAAUUAUUUUCUAUUGAUAGCCUGAGAAAGAUUCAUCGUAUCCAGUGGGAAGAUUAACAAGCUCCAGCACACUGGAAUGCCAUGGACCUAGCUGGAACGAUAGACUCAGCUAAGUUUCAAAACCAUAAAGCUGUUUGUCUGUGUACCAUCAAGCCAUCAUGUACAAACGAGCAAGGGACGUCAGGAUGGUUCUUAGUGAACUUCAGAAAGGACUCACUUCUCAACCCUGGACUAAGUCCUGGAAUCCACUACACAUGAAAGAUAGACCAAAGGCGAUGUGUACCUAGAAAUCCCCUGUCUUGCUUUUGGGUGGCUAUAUUUCUCAAUAUGGUUGCCUGCUCGCCCCCGAUCCCCUGCGUGUGUCUUAUUUCAGCAGCCUUCUUUUGACUCUUGCUUGGGAUUUCAGUGUGCUCAGGUCUUAUCUUCCCCUGUUAUUUUAACUUGCAUUUGCCUUAUACAGUGCUAAUAAAAGAGACAGUAAGAUUUUA
rnacentral:sRNA from 1 species